AUACGGAGGGUGCAAGCGUUAAUCGGAAUUACUGGGCGUAAAGCGUACGUAGGCGGUUAGUUAAGUUAGAUGUGAAAGCCCCGGGCUUAACCUGGGAACUGCAUUUAAAACUGGCUAACUAGAGUUAAGUAGAGGGGAGUGGAAUUUCAGGUGUAGCGGUGAAAUGCGUAGAGAUCUGAAGGAACACCAGUGGCGAAGGCGACUCCCUGGACUUGAUCUGACGCUGAGGUACGAAAGCGUGGGUAGCAAACGGGAUUAGAAACCCCUGUAGUCC
rnacentral:rRNA from 1 species